UACAGAGGUCUCAAGCGUUGUUCGGAUUCAUUGGGCGUAAAGGGCGCGUAGGCGGCGGGGUAAGUCGGGUGUGAAAUCUCAGAGCUCAACUCUGAAAUGGCACUUGAUACUGCUCUGCUAGAGGACUGGAGAGGAGAUUGGAAUUCACGGUGUAGCAGUGAAAUGCGUAGAUAUCGUGAGGAAGACCGGUGGCGAAGGCGGAUCUCUGGACAGUUCCUGACGCUGAGGCGCGAAGGCCAGGGGAGCAAACGGGG
rnacentral:rRNA from 1 species